CAGUCGCCACGGUAAAACGGAGGGGGCUAGCGUUGUUCGGAAUUACUGGGCGUAAAGCGCACGUAGGCGGCUUGGUAAGUUAGAGGUGAAAGCCUGGAGCUCAACUCCAGAAUUGCCUUUAAGACUUCCGAGCUAGCAGGUGAGAGAGGUAAGUGGAAUUCCGAGUGUAGAGGUGAAAUUUGUAGAUAUUCGGAAGAACACCAGUGGCGAAGGCGGCUUACUGGCUCAUACUGGACGCUGAGGUGCGAAAGCGUGGGGAGCAAACAGGAUUAGAUACCCCCGUAGUCCCUGUCUCUUAUAC
rnacentral:rRNA from 1 species